CAGUCGCCGCGGUAAUACGAAGGGUGCAAGCGUUACUCGGAAUUACUGGGCGUAAAGCGUGCGUAGGUGGUGGUUUAAGUCCGUUGUGAAAGCCCUGGGCUCAACCUGGGAAUUGCAGUGGAUACUGGGUCACUAGAGUGUGGUAGAGGAUAGUGGAAUUUCCGGUGUAGCAGUGAAAUGCGUAGAGAUCGGAAGGAACAUCUGUGGCGAAGGCGACUAUCUGGGCCAACACUGACACUGAGGCAUGAAAGCGUGGGGAGCAAACAGGAUUAGAUACCCGCGUAGUUCCUGUCUCUUAUAC
rnacentral:rRNA from 1 species